rnacentral:tRNA from 1 species
GGGGCCGUAGCUCAGUUUGGCAGAGCAAGCGGGUUUGGCAUUCGCGAGGUCAGGGGUUCGAAUCCCCUCGGCUCCACCA